GAAUUAAAAUGGGUUCGCAUUCUCUGCAAAAACUUCAAUCAAAGGUAUUGAUUUAUUUUCUUUUAUUUAACAAUGUGUUGUGAAGUUUAUUAAUGGAUGAACAAUCGCCUGUACCUUUACAAUUUCAGCACUUGGACAACUAAAACUAUCAAUGAACUUGAAUUAGAGAAGGACCAUAUUGCUCUUCAUGCAGGAGCAAGGGCUUCUAUCCUCUUUAUUUGUUUUAUUUUGUUUAUUAUAUGUUCAGUUUUUUGUACUUUUGUAUUUAUAAUUGUGAAGAUGAGAUACACUUUUCAAGUUUAGAACUGAAUUUUCUAUAUCCAUAUUGUCCAUUGCUACAACCAUAGAAAUGGUGUUAAGACUCCUAUAUUGUCUAAAGGUAAGAUAUGGGUACUUUUCAAUAUUUUCUACUUCUUUAAUAUAUGGUCCUGGUUGCAAUUCUCCCCCUCGAUUUGCAACUUGACAGGAAAUAAAAAAACACUUAAGCAUAGUUGUCACUAUGCAGUUACGCCAGGAAAUAAAAAAACACUUGAGCAUAGUUGUCACUAUGCAGUUACGCCAGGAAAUAAAAAAACACUUAAGCGUAGUUGUCACUAUGCAGUUAUGAACUAUUUUCUCACAAAGUGAAAAUAUAUGAUUUCUAUUUCAAACCUCUAGCAAUUUGCAGCAAUGCACUGAGAUUUCUACAAUCUGUACUUAAAGAGAUGGAGCACGGGGCUUUGCUUCAAAGACGUUGAUAUCCAAAAUGGUGGGAGAUGUGCUGCUCAAGGUUGGUUCACUAAUCUAUCAGAAAUUGUGUCAAUAGUUGAAUGGAAGUUUUACAAAGGUGGCAUUUCAUCUGGCAUUUCACUUAGUAGUAUAAUUUUUAGAAAAUGGUAACAUUAUUAACUUUCCAUCUUUUAACACCACUUGCAGAUUUAGUGAUAAAAAAUACGCGGACUGACAAUGUGAACCGUUCUGAAAGUGAUACCAAUCAAAAUGUUGACAUGGCAUGACUUCUGCAAUACAUAGAGACCAUGACUGCUUUGCAAGUAAUCCUCACUAUGGCCACAGUUCCAGUGUGAUCCGUUUUUUUGUCUUGCUAAUGUCUUUGUGAUUUCCCUGGCGGUUUAAACAACAGAUCACAAUACUACUUGCAUACUGGCAAUAGGCUCAAUAAGAAUGCUCUUAACUGUGUAAGAAGAAUAUUACCGUAAUGUUUGUACUAUCGAGUCUUUAUGGCAUUAUUUGACAGUGCCAUUCUAGGGAAAUUGAUCAGAAAUGUACCUAAAUUGUGUUCAGAAUAAUUAAAGAUUAAAUAUCGAUAAAUAUCCAUUCUUAGCCAAAAAAAAAAAAGAUGAAUUGCAUCAUAAAUAUUUACAAUAUGAG
rnacentral:lncRNA from 1 species